rnacentral:rRNA from 1 species
UACGUAGGGGGCAAGCGUUAUCCGGAUUUACUGGGUGUAAAGGGAGCGUAGACGGCAGGGCAAGUCUGGAGUGAAAGGCAGGGGCCCAACCCCUGGACUGCUCUGGAAACUGUCCGGCUGGAGUGCAGGAGAGGUAAGUGGAAUUCCUAGUGUAGCGGUGAAAUGCGUAGAUAUUAGGAGGAACACCAGUGGCGAAGGCGGCUUACUGGACUGUAACUGACGUUGAGGCUCGAAAGCGUGGGUAGCAAACAGG